rnacentral:rRNA from 1 species
GUGGGGAAUCUUGCGCAAUGGGCGAAAGCCUGACGCAGCCAUGCCGCGUGAAUGAUGAAGGUCUUAGGAUUGUAAAAUUCUUUCACCGGGGACGAUAAUGACGGUACCCGGAGAAGAAGCCCCGGCUAACUUCGUGCCAGCAGCCGCGGUAAUACGAAGGGGGCUAGCGUUGCUCGGAAUUACUGGGCGUAAAGGGCGCGUAGGCGGACAGCUUAGUCAGAGGUGAAAGCCCAGUGCUCAACCUUGGAAUUGCCUUUGAUACUGGCUGUCUUGAGUUUGGGAGAGGUGAGUGGAACUCCGAGUGUAGAGGUGAAAUUCGUAGAUAUUCGGAAGAACACCAGUGGCGAAGGCGACUCACUGGCCCAAUACUGACGCUGAGGCGCGAAAGCGUGGGGAGCAAACAGGAUUAGAAACCCUUGUAGUCC